GAUGAACGCUGGCGGCGUGCUUAACACAUGCAAGUCGAACGGAAAGGCCCUGCUUUUGUGGGGUGCUCGCGUGGCGCACGGGUGUGUAACACGUGAGUAUCCCGCCCUUGACUUUGGGACAACUUCAGGAAACUGGGGCUAAUACCGGAUAGGAGCUCCUGCUGCAUGGUGGGGGUUGGAACGUUUCGGCGGAUGGGGAUGGACUGGCGGUUUAACAGCUUGUUGGGGGGGUAGUGGCUUACCCAGGCUUUGGCGGGUAGCCGGCCUGGGAGGGUGACCGGCGACAUUGGGACUGAGGUACGGCCCAGACGCCUACGGGAGGCAGCAGUGGGGAAUAUUGCACAAUGGGCGGAAGCCUGAUGCAGCAACGCCGCGUGCGGGAUGACGGCCUUCGUGUUGUAAACCGCUUUCGCCUGUGACGAAGCGGGAGUGACGGUAAUGGGUAAAGAAGCACCGGCUAACUACGUG
rnacentral:rRNA from 1 species